UGGGCUCCAGGGCGCUUGGUCGGGACCAGCGUGCGUCUCUCGCACUCCUGGGACCCGGCCUUGGGCCAAGCGGAGACCAGAGCAGGGCAGGGUGUGUGCGACCUGUCCCCGCGCCCCCUCCCCGAAGCAUCCCACCCACUCCCGAACAUCCGCUGGCCCUCAGUCCUGGGCUCAGGAAAAGGAGAGAUCAGGAAGCUGUGGUGUUUUGCCUCAGGCCAGCAACACCAGUUUGAUAUAAAGCGAAAGCCACACGGGGGAAACAGCCCGCUUUGGCAGAUGGAGUGGCUAUGGUAUCAAUAUGGGCAACAUGGACAGGUGUCUCAAUGAGCCUGGGGCUCGCUUUCGAGGUUACAGUGACUGAGCAGCAAGCACCAAAGGUCCUCCUUUCCUCCCCCUCUCCCAGCACUGGUCUGCUUCAGUGCCUAGCUUUUACAUGAUGCUGAGGACCUCAACUCACGUCUUCGUGCUUGCAUGGUGAGAACAUUUAUCUGUGGGGACAUCUCCCAGCCUGUUUCUGCAAGCAACACCCGAUGACACAUGUGCAAUUCUUGGAACUCAGUGGAAGGAGAAUACAAGUGCUGGAAGGUGUCACAGACAUAGACAUCACAACCCUCAACCACACCCAAAGAGUAAUAAUACAGCUUAAAACCCAAUACAGGUACUUGCUUUAGCAAAACAUACGUGCGGUUGAGUAAUAUGAUUCCUGCUACAUGAGUAAUAUGAUUCCUGCUCAAAAACUCAUAAGGUAAAACCACUGCCUUGCCAGAAGAGAACCAUGUGACCAUCCCAGUAUAUCUCCACCAGCAGAUGAUGGCAUUCACCACCUAUCCUUGAUCCACAUAACCUCUGAAAGCCAGGAGACAGCACAUCGGACCUAUGUUCUUCAGAGUGGAAGACCCCCUACAACACAGACAUGGUUGUUGCCCUCGGAAUGGGUACUUGGUUAGUUUUUUAAGAGUCAGGGUCUCACAUAUCCAAGAUUACACUUGAUCUAAAGAUCCACGUGAACUCUAAAUGCCACCAGAGGGACGAUGCCAGGUGGUGGUUGCCAAGAAAGCAACAUUUGCUCUAGAUCAUCACAAAAGCUACGGCAGGAUGCUAGGACUCUGAGACUGAGUCCAUAAAAUGAGACCCAGGAGCACAUUACAGGUAGUUGGACUAAGGGGUAUUGCUGAUAUGUGUCUCAGCCUGGGAUCUAGAACCUGGAACAAAGUCACAACAAAUACGAGGAACCACUCAGACCUAAAGUGUGCCUCACAGCACUUAGCAGGGGGAUGUGCCACAACUAAGUGCUAAUCCUGUCCUGCCACUUUGCAGCCAUAUGUACUUGGGAAAGAUAGUUGUGUCUGGGCUUACUUUGAUAUCCACCAAAUAAAAUGUAUUAAAAUAGCUAUUGCUAUGUAUUUAAA